UCAAGUCAGCACGGCUCUUACGUCCUGGGCUACACACACGCUACAAUGGCCAGUACAAUGGGCGUGCCAAGCCGCGAGGCGGAGCGAAUCCCACCAAAGCUGGCCUCAGUUCAGAUCGCAGUCUGCAACUCGACUGCGUGAAGGCGGAGUUGCUAGUAACCGCAGGUCAGCAUACUGCGGUGAAUACGUUCCCGGGCCUU
rnacentral:rRNA from 1 species